AACGAACGCUGGCGGCAUGCCUAACACAUGCAAGUCGAACGAGACCUUCGGGUCUAGUGGCGCACGGGUGCGUAACGCGUGGGAACCUGCCCUUAGGUUCGGAAUAACUCCCCGAAAGGGGUGCUAAUACCGGAUAAUGUCUUCGGACCACAGAUUUAUCGCCUUUGGAUGGGCACGCGUUGUAUUAGCUAGUUGGUAGGGUAAAAGCCUACCACGGCGACGAUACAUAGCUGGUCUGAGAGGAUGAUCAGCCACACUGGGACUGAGACACGGCCCAGACUCCUACGGGAGGCAGCAGUGGGGAAUAUUGGACAAUGGGCGAAAGCCUGAUCCAGCAAUGCCGCGUGAGUGAUGAAGUCCUUAGGGUUGUAAAGCUCUUUUACCCGGGAUUAUAAUGACAGUACCGAGAGAAUAAGCACCGGCUAACUCCGUG
rnacentral:rRNA from 1 species